UGUAUACUUAUUUUAGAAAAACCUCAUUUUAUAGCCAACUAGUAAAAUGUUAUAUAUACAACUCUAACUUGGAACUUUGUAUUUAGAGCAGUUGAACAACAGAUGGAUGAAAAUUCAGUCCCAGUGGUUAUGCUGUCCAAAAUUCAAGAAGAAACUUGUCAUCUGAAACUCACACACUUAGAGUAUUUCAGCCUUUGGUAUCUAAUGUUAACCCUGGAGUCACAAUCAAAAGAUAACCGAAAGAAUCACCAAAAUAUCUGGUUAAAGCCUGCUUCAGAAAUGUAAGUGGUCCAUGUGAGUAAAGUGUCAUUAAUUUGUAUUAGCUUGUGUGGGAUGUGGAAUUCAUGACACAUACAGGUUAUAUUGCAUGUUAAAGAUAUGUGAUUUCAUUUGUUCAUGAAAACUCCAGAUGUCAAUGAGUUGUUCCUAAGUAGAACAUCAUUUCUGCAUGUGCUAUGUGCUGUAAUCAUUGUUAGUUUUCUGUGUAUAUGAAUAGAUACUAAUAUCAACUCUGUUUUUGGGUUGGGGAUACUGAGAUUAAACACAAGGCCUCCCAUGUGCUAGGUGGCAAGUGCUCUACCACUGAGGUACACCUCUAGCACAGUCAUAUAUUUUCAAUAGCACACACCUGUAAUCCCAGGAACUUGGUUGGCCAAAGCAGGACACCAAGUUCAAGACUGGCCCUAAGCAACUUAGCAAGGCCCUACCUCAAAAUAAAAGAAUCAAAAGGAGUGGGGAUGGGCUGGGGUUGUGGCUCAGGGGUAGAAUGCUUGCUUAGCAUGUGUGAGGUUGUGGAUUCCAUCCUCAGCACCACAUAAAGAUAAAUAAAUAAGAUAUUGUAUCCAUCUACAACUACAAAAAAUAUUUUUUAAAAAAAGGGAGUGGGGAUGUAGCUCAGUGGUAAAGCACCCCUGGGUUCAAUCCUCAGUACCAAAAAAUAAAUACAAAUUUAAAAAAAAUUAUGAUUUAUUUAUUUAUGCCUCAUUUCCAGACUUUUUAUAUUUUAUUUAGAAAUAGGGUCUCACUAAGUUGCUUAUAUCUAUGUUGCUUAGGCUGGCUUUGAACUUGAGAUCUUUUUUGCUUCAGCCUCCUGUGUUAUGAGAUUAUAUAUUUGUGAUAUCUGGAAAGAAAUUUUUAAAAUGAUUUGUUAAUUCUUUUUCAUCAGUGAUAUCCUUAGAAACUUGAGUAUGUCUUAAGGUGAAUUGGUAGAGUGCAUACUGCUUUUUUACUUUUUUUGUUUUUGUUUUUAGACUGGGUCUCACCAUAUUACCUCGGCCAGCCUUGAUCUCUCAAUCCUCUUGCCCCUGCCUUCUGAGUACCUGGGAUUAUGGGCCUGAGACACCAUGUUCUGUUUAUUUAAGUUUUCAAAAAGUAGUGUUUUAAAAAUGUAUAUUUUCUAUUUUGAGACAGAUUCACAUUUUCUGAAGAUCUAUCUCAUUUUCCUUGUGGCAUCCACUUAUGAAAGAUAAAUUAUAGGAGGGUGGGGCUGUAGCUCAGUGGCAGAGCACUUGCCUAGCAUGUGUGGGGCCCUGGGUUUGAUCCUUAGCACCACAUAAAAAAUGAAUACAUAAAAUAAAGGUAUUAUGUCCAACUACAACUAAAAGAUAAAUAUUAAAAAAAGAUAAAUUAUUAGGAUUUUUAUACCUUCACAUAGUAUUUUUCUGUAAGUAAAAUUUAGUUGCAUUAAUUCCAGUUUUGUUUUACUAGAAUAAGGUGAUAAUAGUGUGACUUUAGAAAUAAUUGGAUCUCUGUGUCCCUAAUAUUAGGCUUUAAUUUAGAAAACAUUACAGUGGAGAAAGUUCAUGUUGUAGGUUAUAUAACAAAUAUGUCAAGCACACAUGCCAACAAUUUGCCUCUGAGAUUGUAUAGUAUUUAAUAGUAAUGUCUGAGAGGUUGUAAAUGCUGAAUACUUAUUUAUUAGAAGUAGUGUAAUUAUGACAACUUGCUUGUCAUUUUAUAUUUAUUUUGGGUACUGGGGAUUGAACCCAGGAGUUCUUAACUACUGAGCCACAUUCCCAGUCCCCCCUCCCCCACUUUCUUUCUUUCUUUUUUUUUUUUAUUUUUAUUUUUGAGACAGGGUCUUACAAAGUUGCUGAGGCUGGUCUUGAACUUGGGAUCCUCCUGUCUCAGCUUCUUGAGUCACUGGAAUUACAGGUGUGCACCACCAUGCCCGGUACUUAUCAUUAUUUUAAUAAUAGUAUUUUAAAUCCUUUUAUAAACACUAAAGAAAUAGGUUAUUCUUUUCUUCACAUCUAGUUUAGGAGAUUAUUAUGGUUUGUCUUCUGUAAUGUUACAUUUAUCAGCACAGGAUGUGGGGGUAUUGAUCUAUCCAUCAAGGAUCCAUGUGCCAAUAAACACCCUGUUCAGAUAUCCCAGACUGUGGGUGGAACAAGGAGAGGUGAUUGAUCACUUAGAAACAAAUGGGGCUGGGUGUAUAUCUCAGUGGCUAGAGUGCUUGCCUGGCAUGCACAAGGCCCUGGGUUCAAUCCCCAGCACCACAAAAACAAAACAAAAAAAACAAAAAGAAGCGGGUUGGGGUUGUGGCUCAGUGGUAGAGCCCUUGCCUAGCACGUGUGCAGCACUGGGUUUGAUCCUCAGCAUCAUAUAAAAAGUAAACCAAUGAAAUGAAGUUAGUUAAAAAAAAAUAAAUAAAUGGAAGGGCUGGGGAGAUAGCUCAUUGGUAAAGCACUUGCCUGGCAUGCAUGAGGCCCUGGGUUCAAUCCCCAUCACCACAUAAACAAUAAACAACAAAAAAGGUUUUUAAAAAAAUGGAGGCAAUGUUUGUUUAGCGUUUCUAUCACUUUAAUGUAGAUUGUGAAAAAUGUAAAAAGGACAGACUCAGCAUUAGUUUUCAGACGCCAAAUGAAGUAAAUUGUAGAAAAAUACAAACAUACUACUUAACCUGAUAUAAAUGGAAGCCUUUUCUUUCUUUUUCUUUCAUAGAGAGGAGAGUGGCAACUGCAUUGGAAACCUGAUUAGAACAGAACAUGUAAAGAGAGUUUGUGGUGGACAGUAUUUACAUCAUUUCCAGCGUAAAAAUGGUUCUAUGCCUGUCACAAACCUAAUGGCAGGUGACAGAAUUAUUUUAAGUGGAGAAGAGAGAACACUGUUUGCUUUGUCUAGGGGAUAUGUGAAGGAGAUUAACAUGACAACAGUAACUUGUUUAUUAGACAGGUAAUGAAAUAGUACAUUUUUGAUAAUAGCCUUAUUGAUAGGUAUUUCAUGUAUCAUACAAAUCAUGCAUUUAAAGUGUACAAUUUUCAUAUAUUCAAAGAGUCAUAGCUGGGCGCAUUGGUUUAGGCCUCUAAUCCUAGCUACUUGGGAGGAUGAGGCAGGAGGGUCUUAAGUUCCAGGUUAGCCUCAGCAACUUGGCAAGACUCCAUCUCAAAAUUUUAAAAGACUGAGGAUGUUACUUUGUGGUAGAAUGCUUGCCUAGUUCAAUACCCAGUAAUGCCAGGAAAAAAACAAAAAGAGUUGUACAACCAUCACCACAAUCAAUUUCAGAAUAUUUUCAUAACCCCCAAAAGAAAUUUCAGCAGUCACCCGCACCUUUACUUCCCUUCAAUUCCCUCUGCCCAGGCAACUACUAGUUUAUUAUAAAUUGGCCUCUCAUGAACAUUUAAAGUUAAUGUCCUUUUUUUUUUUUUUUUUGGUACUGGGUUUUGAACUCAGGGGCACUCGACCACUGAGCCAUAUCCCCAGUCCUCUUUUGUAUUUUAUGAAGAGACAGGGUCUCACUGAGUUCUUAGUGCCCCACCAUUGCUGAGGCUGGCUUUGAACUUGCAUUCCUCCUGCCUUAGCCUCCUGAGCCACCGGGAUUACAGGUAUGCACCACUGGGCCCAGCUAUUGUGAUCUUAUGUGACUUUUUUUUGUCAAUUAGCAUAUUGAUUUUCAGAUUCAUCUUCAUAUUGUAGCAUGUAUCAGUAUUUCAUUUGUUUUUGUUUUGUUUUUGGAUACUAGGGAUUGAACUCUGGGGCGCUUAAUGACUGAGCCACAUCCCCAGCCCUAUUUUGUAUUUUAUUAGAGAGGGGGGUCUUAUUGAGUUGGUGUUGGGGAUUGAACCCAGGACCUUGUGCAUGCAAGGCAAGCACUCUACCAACUGAGCUAUAUUCCCAUCCCUCUUUUUGAUUUUUUUUUUUUUUUUUUUUGAGACAUGAUCUGUUAAGUUCCUUAGGACCUCACUAAAUUGCUGAGGCUGGUUUUUAACUUGUGAUCUUCCUGUCAGCCUCCAGAGUUGCUGGGGUUACAGAUAUGCACCACCACGACCUGCUUUUACUGAAGGGUUUUAAAGAAUACGUGGUAAUUGGUCUUGCAUUUACUUGUGGGAGAUUUGAAUUAAUUAACAGAGGCAAAAUGAAAGAGAAACCAGGAAGGUAUUGUAGUGACCCAGGUUAGCUGUGAUUGAAGUAGCAUUGACCUGAUAUAGUGACUUUGAUGAACUUGAAAGUAAGUUUGUCAGGGAGUCAGGUGCUGAUUAGGUAUGGGGGCUGAAAAGAGGGUGAGGGGAGAGGAAAGGAUUCAAGUGCUGUUAACUGAGAUCCCACUAAGAGGAGAGGCUCAGGUUCAACAAGAAUGAGGAGUUCCAUUUUAAAUAUAUUGAACUUUUGUGGCCUGGGUUUUAGCCAGGUAAAGGGAUCUUGGUGCCUGCAAAUAUUCAAACCUGAAAUUUGGAUAGGCUAGAAGAUGUUGACCUGGGACCAUAAGGAAAUCCUAAGAGCGAGCAGCACUGUAGGCUAGGGAAGGAAGGGGUUGUAGGCCAUAGCAGGGUUUAAGGAGCAGAUAGAGGAGUGGGAGGAGGAGACCUGUUCUUCAGGCUGGAGGAGGGAGGAGCCAGGUGCUCAGAACCUUCUGGGGAUGGUGAAUUCCUGUUAGAAUGCAGGGUCAAAUGGAUUUUCAACAAAUGUUACAGGUUCCUGGUUCUUAAUUGCUUUGACCUUGAUACCUUGUACCCUCCCUUUCUCUGCUUUCCUACCAAUUAUGUCCUCAUGUUGUCUUUGACUGGCAAGUGUGAAUGAGGGAUUAUGGCCAUUUGUUGUUGUUAUGUUAGCCAUUUUAAUAGUUAUUUUAACUUAUCAACUCUUUUAGCAGAUAGCAGUAUAUCUCUUAUAUAGACCACGGGAAAAUGAAGAACUUUCAUGCAUGUUUGUUGUGCUGUUUUAGGAACUUGUCAGUGCUUGCAGAGUCAACUCUGUUCAGAAUAGACCAGGAAGAAAAAAAUUGUGAUAUAGAUACCCCGUUAGGAAAUCUCUCUAAAUUGAUGGAGAACACUAAUGCCAGGUUUGUAAUGAUGAAUGAAUCUGAAUUUCUCCCCACCUUUCUAAGGAAUAUUACUAAAAGUAUGUAUCGCCUUUUCAGCAAAAAACUUCGAGAUUUAAUCAUUGACUUUCGUGAACCUCAGUUUAUA
rnacentral:lncRNA from 1 species